rnacentral:misc_RNA from 1 species
UCAUUUAGAGGAAGGAGAAGUCGUAACAAGGUUUCCGUAGGUGAACCUGCGGAAGGAUCAUUGUCGAUGCCUGCACAGCAGAACGACCCGCGAACUCGUUUUAAAGAAACAGGGUGCUGGGGGGAAGGGCGCCGGGCGAGAGCCUGGGGUCCCAUCCUCUCCCGUGCCCCCGGGGGCGCGUGCGAGCGCCAUGCCGCCCGCCCAUGCCCCCGUUAACGAACCCCGGCGUGGACCACGCCAAGGAAAACCAACGAGGAAGGCUCGCGCCCGCGCACGCGGGGGACGUGCCUCCCUUAACGCUUACUAUGAAAAACGACUCUCGGCAACGGAUAUCUCGGCUCUCGCAUCGAUGAAGAACGUAGCGAAAUGCGAUACUUGGUGUGAAUUGCAGAAUCCCGUGAACCAUCGAGUCUUUGAACGCAAGUUGCGCCCCAAGCCGUCAGGCCGAGGGCACGCCUGCCUGGGCGUCACGCAACGUCGCCCCCCCCCCACCCCCUAACAAGGGUGCGAGGGCGGGGGCGGAUGCUGGCCUCCCGUGCGCGCUCUCCGCUCGCGGUUGGCCCAAAAGCGAGUCCCCGGCGUCAGGCGCAAGGGCAAGCGGUGGCCACUCGUGUCCGCGUCCUGUGCCCCUGUGCACCCGGCGUCCCACAUUUGGGAGCUCUUUCGAACCCCGAUGCGUCGUCCACACGGACGGCCUCGCAACGCGACCCCAGGUCAGGCGGGACUACCCGCUGAGUUUAAGCAUAUC